CCUACGGGGGGCAGCAGUGAGGGAUAUUGGUCAAUGGGGGAAACCCUGAACCAGCAACGCCGCGUGAGGGAAGACGGUUUUCGGAUUGUAAACCUCUGUCCUCUGGGGAGAUAAGGACGGUAGCAGAGGAGGAAGCUCCGGCUAACUACGUGCCAGCAGCCGCGGUAAUACGUAGGGAGCAAGCGUUGUCCGGAUUUACGGGGUGUAAAGGGUGCGUAGGCGGCCCGGGAAGUCAGAAGUGAAAUCCAUGGGCUUAACCCGUGAACUGCUGUUGAAACUGGAGGUCUUGAGUGAAGUAGAGGUAGGCGGAAUUCCCGGUGUAGCGGUGAAAUGCGUAGAGAUCGCGAAGAACACCAGUGGCGAAGGCAGCCUGCUGGGCUUUAACUGACGCUGAAGCACGAAAGCGUGGGUAGCAAACAGGAUUAGAUACCCUGGUAGUC
rnacentral:rRNA from 1 species